rnacentral:rRNA from 1 species
GAUGAACGCUGGCGGCGUGCUUAACACAUGCAAGUCGAACGGAAAGGCCUCAGCUUGCUGGGGUACUCGAGUGGCGAACGGGUGAGUAACACGUGGGUGAUCUGCCCUGCACUUUGGGAUAAGCUUGGGAAACUGGGUCUAAUACCGAAUAUGACCACUUCUUGGAUGUUGUGGUGGAAAGCUUUUGCGGUGUGGGAUGAGCCUGCGGCCUAUCAGCUUGUUGGUGGGGUAAUGGUCUACCAAGGCGGCGACGGGUAUCCGGCCUGAGAGGGUGGACGGACACAUUGGGACUGAGAUACGGCCCAGACUCCUACGGGAGGCAGCAGUGGGGAAUAUUGCACAAUGGGCGCAAGCCUGAUGCAGCGACGCCGCGUGGGGGAUGAAGGCCUUCGGGUUGUGAACUCCUUUCGCUAUCGACGAAGCCACUUGUGGUGACGGUAGGUAGAUAAGAAGCACCGGCUAACUACGUGCCAGCAGCCGCCGUAA